UCCCGCGUAAUUUAAGCAUAUUAAUAAGCGGAGGAAAAGAAACUAACUAGGAUUCCCUUAGUAGCUGCGAGCGAACAGGGAAAAGCCCAGCACUGAAUCCUGCGUGCCGUGCGCACGUUUGGAAAUGUAGUGUUUGGGAGGAUCCGAUUAUCUCGUGAGAGCUCGCCAGUCCAAGUCCAUCUUGAAAGCGGCCACAGCCCAUAGAGGGUGCCAGGCCCGUAGGACGGUGGGUCGCUCGAACGAAAGGAUCUCUCCAGAGUUCAAGAGUACGUGAAACCGUUCAGGGGUAAACGGACGAAAUCUGGAAAAUCGAAGCGAAAGAUUCAAGCUCAAUCGCCGUGCGUUGCGCGGCGGCCGCCGAUGGCGGACUGGCGCCCGUGCGUCGCAGCAAUGCGCGCCGGUGUCGUCCGGUCCGUUCACGGCGUGUCGUCACGCGCGCCGGUAUCGGGCCGCACUUUUUUCGUUGUAGUACGUCGCGACCCGUUGGGUGCGCGUCCAAGGCCUGCUCGUGGAGACGAUCUCGGCUGUAGCCAGCCCCUCUCGGGGGGCCGGGCGCACAGAGUUCGACUGUGGCGGUGUCCCGACGCGCUCGCCCGACGGUAGCCAAACGACUCGAAAAGAACCCGAGGCCUCGCGGCCGCGGGCGGUCCUUAAUUGGACACGAGUCGUGUCUGCGGCGCUCUAUCUAGAGCAUCAUCCGACCCGUCUUGAAGCACGGACCAAGGAGUCUAACAUGUGCGCGAGUCAUUGGGACCGCACUAAACCUAAAGGCGUAAUGAAAGUGAAUGUCGGCCGCCUCGGCGGUCGGCAGAGGGGAGAUGGCGGCCGUCCGUAGCGUCGCGCCGCCCGCAUCCCCGGGGCGUCUCGUUGUCAUUGCGACACAGCAGGCGCACCCAGAGCGUACACGUUGGGACCCGAAAGAUGGUGAACUAUGCCUGGUCAGGUCGAAGUCAGGGGAAACUGGCACUCGGAGUACGAAUGCAAAAGCGUCGGUCGCGCGGUUCGCCGCGUGCGCCGGUCGCGAAAACCAGUCUCAUCUGNNNNNNNNNNNNNNNNNNNNNNNNNNNNNNNNNNNNNNNNNNNNNNNNNNGGAAUCCGGUUCCUAUUCCGGAACCCGGCUGCGGAACCGACAUGCGGGCCACUCUGCAGCAAUGCAGAACUCGUCGGGGUAACCCAAAAGGACCCGGAGACGCCGUCGGAUGAUCGAGGCAGAGUUUUCUGUUCUGUAUGAGCGUUCGAGUUCCCUGGAAUCGCCUAGCGCGGAGAUAGGGUUUGGAACGCGAAGAGCACCGCACUUGCGGCGGUGUCUCGAUCUAUCCCUCGGACCUUGAAAAUCCGGGAGAGGGCCACGUGGAGGUGUCGCGCCGGUUCGUACCCAUAUCCGCAGCAGGUCUCCAAGGUGAGGAGCCUCUAGUCGAUAGAA
rnacentral:rRNA from 1 species